rnacentral:rRNA from 1 species
CAGCAUGGUCUUAGCUUGCUAAGGCCGAUGGCGACCGGCGCACGGGUGAGUAACACGUAUCCAACCUGCCGUCUACUCUUGGACAGCCUUCUGAAAGGAAGAUUAAUACAAGAUGGCAUCAUGAGUCCGCAUGUUCACAUGAUUAAAGGUAUUCCGGUAGACGAUGGGGAUGCGUUCCAUUAGAUAGUAGGCGGGGUAACGGCCCACCUAGUCUUCGAUGGAUAGGGGUUCUGAGAGGAAGGUCCCCCACAUUGGAACUGAGACACGGUCCAAACUCCUACGGGAGGCAGCAGUGAGGAAUAUUGGUCAAUGGGCGAGAGCCUGAACCAGCCAAGUAGCGUGAAGGAUGACUGCCCUAUGGGUUGUAAACUUCUUUUAUAAAGGAAUAAAGUCGGGUAUGUAUACCCGUUUGCAUGUACUUUAUGAAUAAGGAUCGGCUAACUCCGUGCCAGCAGCCGCGGUAAUACGGAGGAUCCGAGCGUUAUCCGGAUUUAUUGGGUUUAAAGGGAGCGUAGAUGGAUGUUUAAGUCAGUUGUGAAAGUUUGCGGCUCAACCGUAAAAUUGCAGUUGAUACUGGAUAUCUUGAGUGCAGUUGAGGCAGGCGGAAUUCGUGGUGUAGCGGUGAAAUGCUUAGAUAUCACGAAGAACUCCGAUUGCGAAGGCAGCCUGCUAAGCUGCAACUGACAUUGAGGCUCGAAAGUGUGG